rnacentral:rRNA from 1 species
GAUGAACGCUGGCGGCGUGCCUAAUACAUGCAAGUCGAACGCAUAGCGAAAGGUGCUUGCACCUUUCAAGUGAGUGGCGAACGGGUGAGUAACACGUGGACAACCUGCCUCAAGGCUGGGGAUAACAUUUGGAAACAGAUGCUAAUACCGAGUAAAACUUAGUGUCGCAUGACACAAAGUUAAAAGGCGCUUCGGCGUCACCUAGAGAUGGAUCCGCGGUGCAUUAGUUAGUUGGUGGGGUAAAGGCCUACCAAGACAAUGAUGCAUAGCCGAGUUGAGAGACUGAUCGGCCACAUUGGGACUGAGACACGGCCCAAACUCCUACGGGAGGCUGCAGUAGGGAAUCUUCCACAAAGGGCGAAAGCCUGAUGGAGCAACGCCGCGUGUGUGAUGAAGGCUUUCGGGUCGUAAAGCACUGUUGUAUGGGAAGAACAGCUAGAAUAGGAAAUGAUUUUAGUUUGACGGUACCAUACCAGAAAGGGACGGCUAAAUACGUG